rnacentral:rRNA from 1 species
AGGGAAUCUUCGGCAAUGGACGGAAGUCUGACCGAGCAACGCCGCGUGAGUGAAGAAGGUUUUCGGAUCGUAAAGCUCUGUUGUAAGAGAAGAACGAGUGUGAGAGUGGAAAGCUCACACUGUGACGGUAUCUUACUAGAAAGGGACGGCUAACUACGUGCCAGCAGCCGCGGUAAUACGUAGGUCCCGAGCGUUGUCCGGAUUUAUUGGGCGUAAAGCGAGCGCAGGCGGUUAGAUAAGUCUGAAGUUAAAGGCUGUGGCUUAACCAUAGUACGCUUUGGAAACUGUUUAACUUGAGUGCAAGAGGGGAGAGUGGAAUUCCAUGUGUAGCGGUGAAAUGCGUAGAUAUAUGGAGGAACACCGGUGGCGAAAGCGGCUCUCUGGCUUGUAACUGACGCUGAGGCUCGAAAGCGUGGGGAGCAAACAGGAUUAGAUACCCUGGUAGUCCACGCCGUAAACGAUGAGUGCUAGGUGUUAGACCCUUUCCGGGGUUUAGUGCCGUAGCUAACGCAUUAAGCACUCCGCCUGGGGAGUACGACCGCAAGGUUG